rnacentral:rRNA from 1 species
UAAGGAAUAUUGGACAAUGGAGGCAACUCUGAUCCAGCCAUGCCGCGUGAAGGAAUAAGGCCCUAUGGGUUGUAAACUUCUUUUAGACGGGACAAAACCCCUUUACGUGUAAAGGGUUGAUGGUACUGUCAGAAUAAGCAUCGGCUAACUUCGUGCCAGCAGCCGCGGUAAUACGAAGGAUGCAAGCGUUAUCCGGAAUUAUUGGGUUUAAAGGGUGCGUAGGCGGACUAAUAAGUCAGUGGUGAAAGCCUGCGGCUUAACUGCAGAAUUGCCAUUGAUACUGUUAGUCUUGAGUACAGUUGAGGUAGGCGGAAUGUGUCAUGUAGCGGUGAAAUGCUUAGAUAUGACACAGAACACCGAUUGCGAAGGCAGCUUGCUAAGCUGUAACUGACGCUGAGGCACGAAAGCGUGGGGAGCAAACA